UCGACCAGUAAGUUUCAUUUUACUUACUUGCAUUGCUUAAAAAGACGUCUGUUAAGGAAUGUUAUGUAAACCAAUUAUGAAUCCUCUGAGAACAGCUCGAGUUAUUGGGAUUCGUGUAUACCAGGACGUGCCAGCCCUACAUUAGUGUAUUUAACUGCUUGUGUUUGCUGUUCAUAUGGCCUUGAGAUAGCAGGAUUAAACCAUGUUUUCUGGACGUAACGGCUCUUGACAAUACCGGGAGUGCCAGCCCAACAUUGGUGUCUUAAAUGCUUGCAUUGUUAUUGAUAU
rnacentral:lncRNA from 1 species